UACAGAGGGUGCAAGCGUUAAUCGGAAUUACUGGGCGUAAAGCGUGCGUAGACGGUUAUGUAAGUCAGGUGUGAAAGCCCCGGGCUCAACCUGGGAAUUGCAUUUGAGACUGCAUAGCUAGGGUGCGGAAGAGGGAAGCGGAAUUUCCGGUGUAGCGGUGAAAUGCGCAGAUAUCAGGAGGAACACCAGCGGCGAAGGCGGCGCUCUGGGCCGGUACUGACGCUGAGGAGCGAAAGCGUGGGGAGCAAACAGG
rnacentral:rRNA from 1 species